GAUGAACGCUGGCGGCGUGCCUAAUACAUGCAAGUCGAGCGAACGGACGAGAAGCUUGCUUCUCUGAUGUUAGCGGCGGACGGGUGAGUAACACGUGGAUAACCUACCUAUAAGACUGGGAUAACUUCGGGAAACCGGAGCUAAUACCGGAUGAUAUUUUGAACCGCAUGGUUCAAAAGUGAAAGACGGUCUUGCUGUCACUUAUAGAUGGAUCCGCGCUGCAUUAGCUAGUUGGUAAGGUAACGGCUUACCAAGGCAACGAUGCAUAGCCGACCUGAGAGGGUGAUCGGCCACACUGGAACUGAGACACGGUCCAGACUCCUACGAGAGGCAGCAGUAGGGAAUCUUCCGCAAUGGGCGAAAGCCUGACGGAGCAACGCCGCGUGAGUGAUGAAGGUCUUCGGAUCGUAAAACUCUGUUAUUAGGGAAGAACAUAUGUGUAAGUAACUGUGCACAUCUUGACGGUACCUAAUCAGAAAGCCACGGCUAACUACGUG
rnacentral:rRNA from 1 species